CGCCGCCGCGAGAUCCUCUCCGGCGUCGCCGCCCCCAUCGCCGGCGGUUCAACGGCGCCUCGUCGAGGUCUCUUCCCGCCCUCUUUUGGCCUAUCCUUCUGGCUGCCGCAUCGAUUCUAUCGUUCACUCUCGCAGUGACGGUCAGAACCUUCAUCAGAAAGAGGUCGAGUUCCUCGGCGCCACGGACGCUCGCGCAGCUUCCAGGACAUUCCAAAGGACCGCAGAGCGGAUGGCUGGGUGGCUAUGGUCGUCAUCGCUUCUACCUCUCGUAUGAUAUCAGCAUCCUGUGCAUCGGCUCCGGAUGUUCGUUCGCAUUGGCCACGGUUAUUCCCUGCAUCCCGACGCAUCACUUGUUGCCAGCCUUCUCCGGCAGGGAGCCCGUAUUUGUUUGUUCCCCUUAGGCGGCUGUAAGCGACCAGCAUCUUCUCUCACCUGAUGGACGAUACGUCCCGGAUUGGCGGCGGGAAGAAUCAGUGAAAUGAAGGUGAUCAGGGCCAAACACUGCGAAAUCUCCAUUAAAAAGGUACAGUGAGCUUCGUUGCCGAUACAUGGGAGUUGAAUCCUGAAUUUUUCUCAUCGUUCUGCAUGAUUUGAUUCUAUGAGACAAAAUUGGGCAUUAGAAUAACAUGUUUGAUACAAAGAAGGAUCCUCGAAGUUCAGUCGCUCAGAUGCAAUUACAAGAACCAAGGGGUGCAUUAUAUUUAGAAAUAUAAUGUAUCCAUCCUCACGGAGAAGCUGAUCCGGAAUAGGGUUGACCAAAAAAUGCAGGGUGUGGGGAGAAAAAAAAUGACACGACUCCGCAUUGGGCACGGAAUCUCCAAUCAUCAUUUCCAAGUGGAAAAACUGCUCUUGAACAAGCUGAAGAACCGACCGAAAUUGCGUCGCUCCCUGGACUUUUAUAGAAAAAAACCUCCUCUGAUCUGAUCAGGUUUUCACUUCUCACCAGCUGCGAGAGGCUUCAUCUGCAAUGCAUUUUUAAGCGAUGUAAUAAGCGAUAUAAACACUUGUAGGAGCUGAUACUGACACAAACUUUCCCAAACAAUGACCACAACUUCCUCAUCAGUAAGUUUCACAUGCAUGAUGACCAUGACCAUGCAGUUUGAAAACCCACAUAGAACAGGUAAUGUUUGAAACCCCACAUAAAUGACUAUGCAAAAUCUGAGAUCAUGCGGAAUAAGUUUGGUAUUAGAAAAGCUUUCCCAUAGUUUUUUUUUAAUCGAAUUUAAGAUGACUUAUGGGAGACCAAAAUGAUCGUCAUCACCAUAUCAGUAAGAUAUAUAUAUUUUUUAAAGAGGACUUUGAAGGUCGUCUGGUGAUUAAUAAGAAGAAAAAAUUUAGUUUUGGUCCAGGGGUGGCAGCGCAAGCAAACCAGACUAUCACCGCUAGUCUAAUAACAUAUUAGUAAAUCUUAUUGCGAGCAUGCUUCAUGAGAGAAGAUUGGGGGGGAGCCAACUGGACAAGGAGUAAGAGAAAAACCAGAAGGAUAUCAGUCGGGACUUCAUCUCUCAUCUCACAGAAAAUAUUUACAGACCCCCAUCCCCAUCGCUUUGUGAAACUGCCAAUUCUGCUUAUUGGUUUAUUUCAUAUUAUCUAUGUAUAUAGAGCCCGUCGUACUUAUUUCCUUUCCUUCCUUCUCUUCUAUAUCUUAUUUUCUGCCCUCGGGUGAAUAUACCAUCAUUCCUUCACAGCCACCUUUGAAGGAUAUCUAGAAAAAAUGUACUAAUCUACGCAUUAACUUCGUUUCCACAACAUGGAGGAGUUUACAUUAUCAAGAAGAUUCCUCGAGUUGAAUUGAGAAAUCAUUUCACAAAAUCCGAUUCAUUGAGAACUACGGCAUCUUUCUUUGAUAUUUUCUGAAAAAAAAAAGAAGAGGGAAAUGGCUUCACGCUGUUUUCUUAUAAUAAUGGUGAUGAAGAGAUAUAUUCGCUCAUUUCCGCUAAUGGUUUCAUAAAUGAAAAAGGGUUAAAAGAUACGCUUGUAAUUGAAAAUGGAAUCAUCCCAAACCACGAAAAAGAUAUAUUGCCCAAGAGAAUCAGCUAAGAGGAGAAAGGUACCGAUUCUAAGUAUCUCAGCUGUUUCAGAACUUCACUUGUUUCCAGCUCCUACAAUGAAACAGCAUGAUAAAGACGAUUUUCCAAUUUAUCAAAAUUAAAAGAAGAGCAAGAUCUCAAACAUGGUCAUAACGAAGGAUGAUCAAGAGGAAACAGAUAAAAAUUAAACCGGAUAACUGGAACAUAUUACACGUAAACCUUUCACCAGACCAAGUUACAAUGGAAAAAAGUUUUCAUAAUGCUACAGUAUGUGAACAACAAUGCAACAACUAGUUCACAAAAUUCACAUAAAUUUUAAGCGCAAUAAAAGCUGAUUCCCAAAGAGAACACGGCCAACGGUCGAAUUGGAAAGCCACUCCCAGGAUAAAUCCCAGUUUGGGUUCAAAAGUCAACCGAUAUUUUACAACUUUCAAAGCUACGGUCAUAAAUAUCUAUAAUAUAAAGUUUAAAAAGUUUUUCAUCAAAAACAAUUCUCUGCCACCGUGUCAACCAAGAGUGUCAGGCAAUAGCCGAUGGUGGUAAAAGUCAUGGCAACUGUAUAGUUCUGCUCUCCACAGCAGAACCUGUUAUAGUACCAUUUUUAUUCAAAUGGAGCGAUCAUGAUGAAGACAUAACAUUGACUGGUCACAAGUCCCAUUACAUAAUUAUGAGCGCCGAAAUCACUUGAGAUAAGGGAGAUAAGUAGGGAAGGGGAGAGGAAGGAAAAUCAUCAAAUGGCUGACAACCCCACCCGAGACAGCCAUGGAAAUAUAUAUUCAAUUACGAGACAAGAAUGUCCCCGGUUUCAAGGACAAAUAUAAUAAAGAAAAAUCAAAAGGCAGCAAAAACGAUCAGUGCCCAAGCUACCCUGGCAAGGGAUAAUUAUUCCCUGCACAGCCACUGCAGAUUGAGCACAGAUAUCAUGCAUACAUAACUCAUGCGACACAGAAGAAACAGUGGAUUGUGCCAUCAUAGCCUUGGUAAAGAUAUCAAUUGAUCUGAUACGCACAUCAUUUUUUUUACUCUUCCGGGUAAUCAUAGUGGCUCAAAAAGAUAUACAGUGACCGCUAACGGACCUAAUGCAACCACAAAAACUAGCUCAACCGGCAUCAGAGUAACGCUCAAGUUUCAAAUCAUCGCCCUUAAAGGCCUUUACUUUACCAGGUCACACCCAUAUAGAACCAGCAAGAUUUUUCCCUUCAGGAGGAUCUACCAAUUUCCACGUACCAUUUACUGAAGCACUUAUGGGAAAAUGAUGCCGGAAAGAGGAAGCAUGUACGGCCUCUCAGUAAUAUUAGUAUGCUGCGGUUUGUUUAUAGGAGCAUGAGGAUCCACGUACUAUCCUCUGAUGUUCAAUCAACUCAUUCGCAGUGUUUGUAAAAGAGAGAAUGAGAGAAAGCAGUAAAAUGAAACGUGGCCAAAAAAAUAGCUCCAGGAUGAGAUACCAUGAAUAAAUAACUUUAGUAGAGAAAAUAAGACUAAGAGAAUGGGAGAGGAAAGUUGUCGAGUGGCCAACAACCCUACCUCAGCUCCCAAAAAGAAGUUCGUAAUCUUGUUCACGCCCCCUCUUAGUUAGAUACUUACACUUGUAGGACCUGCAACUGGCAACAGGAAAGGCUAGAUUCUUCUCCCUCUGUCGGAGAGGGUAGUACAAUGGGCAUUAUCACAAGGUCGGGUGAAGCUACUAAGCAGCCAAUGACAGCGAGAUUGGCCAGGAUUCUGGCCAAUUUUUCUUUUUUAUUUUCCCUUUUGCACCUAACAUUUAGGGGGAUGAGGAUUAGGUCAGGGACCCUUAAUCCCAGUUCAAACUAUAGUCAAUCUGUUUAUCUGGCCAUUGUCGAACAUCUACAUGCAGCUUUGCACAACCCUACCUAGGUGCAGGUACCAAGUCAGAGGCGAUGACGCCUGUUAAAUGGCAAGAUGUGUCUGCCAAUAGAUGUCUAGACUAUAAUAAAGGUGCAUAUCCACUCAGACACAAGGCAUCUAAGUACACUAAGAUGGUGAGAAAUUUCUGCAAACGAGAAUAUGCACCAGCCCUUGAUGGCGUAAUGGGCAAAGUUAUCACCCAAAUCUCCAUCCAUGUUCAUUGCUACAAAGAUUAUAUUGGAUUUAAACUAAAAAUAUUGACAUUGCAACGUAAAAAGCGCUUCAUGUUUGCGCACUUUCUGCUAAUGACCUUGUAAGAAUAAGAAUACAAUUGUUACAAUGCCAGAAGUUCACCUGGGGAACGGCACAGUCAGCAUGUAUUGGAUCCCAAACAACAGCACAGGAGCAAUCCCAAUCAUCAGUUUGAGGUAUCAAUAGAGGAGCUCUGCAAAUAUAAACAAAACAGGAAAUAUUUCAUUUUCCAGUGCUUGGAAUAGUAUGCACCGUCUAUAAAAAAAAUAUAUUCAAGGAUAAAGUUCGACAAAGGAAAAUGUGUAUGAUAAUGGGAAUAACCUAAAGAAAAAAAGGGAAUAUAUAGGAAACAAGAGACCAAUUGUCCGCUUGUGUCCAGGAAGAGGAUGAAACGAAUCAUCAGGCAAAGAAAGCUGGACGCUUUAUUUUCAUCCACUGCCAUCAAGAUUCAAUGCUAGUUGACGAAAAUCCAUCAAUUCCGACGAUUUAAAAUUAAUUUGGCAUCAUACUGCACAGGAAACCUUUUUGAAAGGGCUGAUAUUCAUCUUCAAUUUACCUUUCAAGAAGGAAUGAGAGUUCAUUUAGCAAGAAACGAUAUCAGUAAAGCUUUGGAUUUGCAAGUCGGUUUACCUGCGCCACUUUCCACAUACAGUUCCCUGUUCAUCCCCAUCUGUCACAUGCAGAAUCUUUCCUCGACACUGAAGCCAAUUGCUAGUUGAGCCAGAACUUGAUGAUUGACUCCAGCACUAAAAGUAAAAUGAAAAACGUAAAAAAUCCAGGAACUAUUCUACAGUGUUUUCCGCAAAAAUUAAUCAAAGAAUAGACCUUACAUUUAGGCUAUCCCGUUCAGUGGGAUUCAAUUCCAAAGGAUUACCAAAAUAAUCGUCAUCACUGUAAAAAAACAAAACAAAAUUUUAGAAAGCCUCAUGGAAUUCAUAACCCAUAAAGCACUAGAAAACAUAGACUGGGAAAUUCCAUGACUGGAUGCCUUCGGAAAAAAAUCCAUAGAUAAAAUAUGUACGAUAAAUCCAACUUAAAGAAAUAUGAAGUAAUUUUAAUGUCCUGUAAUCUAGCUAGUGGCCCUCAGCAGUGUCACUUACGAUAGACAUCUACAGAAUCAUAUUCACCCAUCAAUACUCUAGAAUUCAAAGAGAAAAGAGUGCAUCUCAUUGUGAUUACAAGAAAGCAGCAGGAAAACAGGAGUAAAAUAAAAUUAUAUAUAUUGGGACAAUACAAAAAGUAACUCAGGCCAAACGAUGGUGUUGAAUUAAAAAAAUCAACCUGAAAUUAGUGUGAUCCCGUGAAAAGGAAAAAGUAGAAUUCUUCCAAUUUUGAAAAAUCACACAUACAAGUCUCCCGUUGUAAAUUUGAAAUAUUAUCCACCAGACCUAAGUUUUUAUUAGCAUGCUCACUGUAUAAUUGUUUCACGUACAUCCACAUAAUAAAAAACUUAAAAUACUUUACCCCCACAAUACUGCGAAGGAAGGUUCCACAAUAUCAAAUCCUCUCCUAACUGACGUAGUACAAUGCCUCAAGAACAGGAAGUUACUAGGUUGAACUUGGCUUUGGCUGAAAUGCUGAGAGGGUCCGCAUCCAACCAGGAUUUCAUUACGUAUUGAAAGGAAUAUAAUUUAGUUUUAACGACAAUGAGUACGGUGAAUAAAUAUUCUCAAGAUGACGAGUCAGUAAAAAAGAAACUCAUAAAUCACAGAAUCUCGUAAAAUCUUUAAAAUUAUCUUAUCUCGUACAAAAAUGCAUGGUGAAAAAGACAUAAAAUGAAGAUCAAGGAAAAAGAAUUGGUAAAAACACAGCAUAAAUUUUUGAAACAAUACAUCAUAAAAGUCAUUAUUUCGUGGAAGUGAAGCAACGUUUAUAGAAUAAAAGUCAUUGUUUCUUCUGUCAAGGCUUCGAAAGACAACAUCCAUAAGAACCUCCAACGUGCUCAUUUAAUAUGACCUUAAUGAACAUGCACUAGUAAGUUAGGCAUAUUAUAAAAUGCAUCAAGGUAAGCCAAGACACCAGACCUGUCGAACCUCAUGUUAAAAUGAUACUUGACAACCUGAGUAAUGAAAAAAUUAGGAAUACAAAAAGAUCAUCAUAAAGUUCAAGCUCUUUAUACCAAUUGGAGCUUAAUUCUUUUAAAACUGAUGCAAUUCUGCAAAUUCCCUUUCAUAUUGAUGGAGAGAGUAGAAAAUCAACGCAAAAAUUACGUGCCAUAUUAAUAGUUUUUGUAAUUGCAAAGGGCAAUCACCAAAAGAAUGCUCCUUAUGUUUGCAAAAAGUUCAUCACGACAACGUAAUUAGGAUCCAAGAUCAGAUAACCCAAAUCAGCUCAUCUGAAGUGAUUCAGGAGAAAUCCUAAAUAUAUAAAAAAGCCUUAUACUAUGUUAGAAGUGUACUUAUAACUACUUUUAUUGAGUCUUUUAGUAAAAACGUUUAUAUGGAUCUGCCAACCCUUUUAUAACCCACCCCUUAAUUGAAUUAGCCAAUUCCUUGAACUAUGGGGUACAUAUGUGAGUUAUACUCGAAUAAAACAACAUGAGUUUUUUUAAAUUGCAAUCACAACAUUCGAGCAAUCGGUAAAAAUUGACUGAAAUCACGAGACACUGAGAUUCCCACUUUUCCAAAACAUGAUCACAGCUUUAUUACUAGAAUGGAAAAUGGGAAUGUACAAAAAACUCUUGUAUAACAAUUCAUAUGAAAGUGUGUCCCAGAAAUAGAACCUAUAAGCACAAAACAAGAGGUGGCAAAUAGUAACAAGUAUAAUUGUAAAUCAGGAAAGAAAGGCUACUGCUUGGCAAGAAUGAAGAAGACAGCUGGUUGUAAAAACAUACUCAGAAGUUGGCCCAGCCCAUUCAGGAACUUUUGCUUGAAAAUCUUCGCCUAUUUUGACACCUGAAGUGUACGGUUCUGUGUCUUCUAACAUGUAUAAAAUUGGACCUAACUUCUCUUGUAACAUCUCUUUCCUCUUCUUUUCGCUCAUGACAUAAAAUAACUUUUCUGAGAGAGUCUCUGGUGGUACCUUUGGUUUCUUACUCAGACAGGGGUGACAGUACCAUUCGUCAACUGGAAGUUUCUUCACCUUACAA
rnacentral:lncRNA from 1 species